rnacentral:rRNA from 1 species
CGGUACUUUGACCGUGCGAAGGUAGCAUAAUAAUUAGUUUUUUAAUUGAAAGCUGGAAUGAAUGGUCGAACGAGAAAAAUACUGUCUCAAGUUAAUUUUAAUUAGAAUUUUAUCUUUAAGUAAAAAAGCUUAAAUAAUUUUAAAAGACGAGAAGACCCUAUAGAGUUUUAUAAAUUUUAUUAUUUGAGGUAUUUAGAAUUUUAUAGCUUAAAAUAGUAACAUUUAUUUUGUUGGGGUGACAGAGAAAUUUAUUAAACUUUUUUUACUAUAAAAACAUUGAUUUAUGAAUUAUUGAUCCAUUAGUUAUGAUUAUAAGAUUAAAUUACCUUAGGGAUAACAGCGUAAUUUUUUUUGAGAGUUCUAAUCGAAAAAGAAGUUUGCGACCUCGAUGUUGGAUUAAAAUUAAGUUUUGGUGUAGCAGCUAAAA